GAUGAACGCUGGCGGCGUGCCUAAUACAUGCAAGUCGAGCGAACAGAUAAGGAGCUUGCUCCUUUGACGUUAGCGGCGGACGGGUGAGUAACACGUGGAUAACCUACCUAUAAGACUGGGAUAACUUCGGGAAACCGGAGCUAAUACCGGAUAACAUAUUGAACCGCAUGGUUCAAUAGUGAAAGGCGGCUUUGCUGUCACUUAUAGAUGGAUCCGCGCCGUAUUAGCUAGUUGGUAAGGUAACGGCUUACCAAGGCAACGAUACGUAGCCGACCUGAGAGGGUGAUCGGCCACACUGGAACUGAGUCACGGUCCAGACUCCUACGGGAGGCAGCAGUAGGGAAUCUUCCGCAAUGGGCGAAAGCCUGACGGAGCAACGCCGCGUGAGUGAUGAAGGUCUUCGGAUCGUAAAACUCUGUUAUCAGGGAAGAACAAAUGUGUAAGUAACUGUGCACAUCUUGACGGUACCUGAUCAGAAAGCCACGGCUAACUACGUG
rnacentral:rRNA from 1 species